rnacentral:misc_RNA from 1 species
AAGUCGUAACAAGGUUUCCGUAGGUGAACCUGCGGAAGGAUCAUUAACACGUAUCCACGUAUCAACCCCUCUGUGCAAACGUAACAACGUAAAGGUCAGCCUAGUCCGCUGCUGCUUCGUAGUUGGUCUCAACGAUGGCGGGCUCGUUCUGUCCCUUCCCACUCUUCCGCUUGCGGAGGAGCAGGAGUGGUGCGCGGGAUAGGCCCGGAGAUCCAGAGCAGGCGGGCGUUUUAACGGUUGGCUGCCAUUUUUCCAUUGUUAGCCCUGUUUACCACUUUUUUAACCCCUUUGUACUCUUUU